UACGGAGGGUGCAAGCGUUAAUCGGAAUUACUGGGCGUAAAGCGCACGCAGGCGGUCUGUCAAGUCGGAUGUGAAAUCCCCGGGCUCAACCUGGGAACUGCAUUCGAAACUGGCAGGCGUGAGUCUCGUAGAGGGGGGUAGAAGUCCAGGUGGAGCGGUGACAUGCGUAGCGCUCUGGAGGAAUCACGGGGGCGAAGGCGGCCCCCUGUACGAAGACUGACUCUCAGGUGCGAAAUCUUGGGGAGCCAACAGGAUUAGAUACCCCGGUAGUCC
rnacentral:rRNA from 1 species